GACGAACGCUGGCGGCGUGCCUAAUACAUGCAAGUAGAACGCUGAAGAGAGGAGCUUACUCUUCUUGGAUGAGUUGCGAACGGGUGAGUAACGCGUAGGUAACCUGCCUUGUAGCGGGGGAUAACUAUUGGAAACGAUAGCUAAUACCGCAUAACAAUGGAUGACACAUGUCAUUUAUUUGAAAGGGGCAAUUGCUCCACUACAAGAUGGACCUGCGUUGUAUUAGCUAGUAGGUGAGGUAAUGGCUCACCUAGGCGACGAUACAUAGCCGACCUGAGAGGGUGAUCGGCCACACUGGGACUGAGACACGGCCCAGACUCCUACGGGAGGCGGCAGUAGGGAAUCUUCGGCAAUGGGGGCAACCCUGACCGAGCAACGCCGCGUGAGUGAAGAAGGUUUUCGGAUCGUAAAGCUCUGUUGUAAGUCAAGAACGGGUGUGAGAGUGGAAAGUUCACACUGUGACGGUAGCUUACCAGAAAGGGACGGCUAACUACGUG
rnacentral:rRNA from 1 species